rnacentral:lncRNA from 1 species
AUUUUCUUUUUGAUUAAUUGAUAAAAACAUUUGCUUUAUUUUGAAUUUUUUUUUUUUGCUUGAGUCAGUCAUCUUACUUGCAAUCAUCAAACUGGUCUUUAUUUUCAAGAUUUUGUGAAAUUUGAGGAACGUCAUGCAUCCGAGGUCUAAAUUUGAGAUUAUUACAUUUUGACUUUUUUUUUCUUUCGAGACAUUAGUGAACACAUGCUUGAAUUUGUUGGCAAGUGGAGAAGUGAGAGUUGUUUAGAAGGGUUUAGAGGAGAAUGGGGUAAUUGUAUGGACAAGUCAUUCCUCAUAUAAUCCUCAAAGGAGAUUUGAUAUGAGAAUGUCAGGGUGAACACGAGAUACACAAAGGGCGCCCCAGCUUGAUGUUAUGGAAAAUGAGCUGGGGUUUGGAUAAAUGAAAGUUAGGGUGAGAAAAUUUCAAAUGAGAUUUGCAAAGCUGCCCCGGUCUUGAGGUUAUGGAUUGAUGAAAAACUUGUGUGAGACUCACAAAGCCGCCCAAUUUUUGUUUGCUUUUUUUUUUAUUGUGGUAUGGGUUGACGAAAAAACUCAAGUGAGACUCACAAAGUUGUCCGGGUUUUUUCUUUGGCAAGGGGUUUCAUUUGGAAGAGGUAUUGGACAUGAAAAGGAUCGACUAAAAGGAUGACCCCAAAUUAGUUUUAUUUUUCUUUUGAAUGCUCCUGGUUAGAUGGCAGAGUGAUCCCUUAUUCCCGAGACAUUACUUUUUCUUCUUUUUUUUUCUUUUUUUUUCUGUUCUCUUUUUAUUUUAUUUUUUUACGACACAUUGAAAAUCAUUUCCCCUUAUCGCAAAAUUAAGCUUCAUGAAAANUUUANCAAACAUUAUCCAAUCUGUGUGGACUUUAUUAAGCUUGUAACGUGGCUAAGGGCUAAAAGGUAUUGAAAGAAAGGAUAUAAAGGCCCAAAU